rnacentral:rRNA from 1 species
UGCAGUCGAGCGGACAGAAGGGAGCUUGCUCCCGGAUGUUAGCGGCGGACGGGUGAGUAACACGUGGGUAACCUGCCUGUAAGACUGGGAUAACUCCGGGAAACCGGAGCUAAUACCGGAUAGUUCCUUGAACCGCAUGGUUCAAGGAUGAAAGACGGUUUCGGCUGUCACUUACAGAUGGACCCGCGGCGCAUUAGCUAGUUGGUGAGGUAACGGCUCACCAAGGCGACGAUGCGUAGCCGACCUGAGAGGGUGAUCGGCCACACUGGGACUGAGACACGGCCCAGACUCCUACGGGAGGCAGCAGUAGGGAAUCUUCCGCAAUGGACGAAAGUCUGACGGAGCAACGCCGCGUGAGUGAUGAAGGUUUUCGGAUCGUAAAGCUCUGUUGUUAGGGAAGAACAAGUGCAAGAGUAACUGCUUGCACCUUGACGGUACCUAACCAGAAAGCCACGGCUAACUACGUGCCAGC